ACAUGGCGUCUGUAAACAAAAAAAGGAAAGUUGACCGCGAGGGCCGCCGCUUCCAGGACAAGUGGAAAUUUGAGUAUUUUUUCACUGAAAUACGAAACAACUGUGUCUGCCUAAUUUGCCAAGAGACUGUGGCUGUUUUCAAGGAAUUCAACAUCAAGAGGCACUACCAGACGAAACAUGCUAGUGGCAACGCUGAUUGCAAAGCACUGCAAACCUUUCACUGAGGGUGAAUUUAUUAAAGACCGUGUAAUGAAAAUGGUUGAGAAAAUUUGUCCCGCGAAGAAGCAAGAGUUUGCCAAUAUUUGCCUGGCUCGUAAUACUGUGGUACGGAGAAUUGAAGACGUUUCAUUAGAUAUUAAGAGACAGUUAGAGGCAAAAGGAACUGAGUUUGACUUUUUCUCGUUAGCGUGCGAUGAAAGCACGGAUGCGUCCGACACCGCUCAGUUACUGAUCUUUUUAAGAGGAGUGGACAAUGACAUGAACGUGAGUGAAGAGCUUCUGGACCUCCAGAGUCUGAAGGGGCAAACAAGAGGAACGGAUUUAUUUGUUUCUGUUUGUUCCACCGUAGAUGACAUGAAACUACAGUGGAAUAAAGUCACCGGGAUUAUUACGGACGGCGCACCUGCCAUUAUCAAGCCUUGUCUGUAACAAAGUCAGCGAAGAAGGAGGCAGCGCUAUUAAACUCCACUGUAUUAUUCAUCAAGAAGUUCUCUGUGCCAAAUAUAUGAAAUAUGAUAAUGUUAUGAAACCGGUGAUAAAGACUAUUAAUUAUAUUCGCUCCAAAGCGCUGUGCCACCGCCAGUUUCAACAGUUUCUUCUCGACAUCCAGGCUGAAUAUGGAGAUGUUUUGUAUCACACCGACGUAAGGUGGCUCAGUCGGGGGUCUGCGCUGCAGCGCUUCUUCUCUCUCAGGGAGGAAAUUGGACAAUUCUUGACUAAAAAGGGACAACCCAUGCCACAAUUAAAUGAUCCUGUUUGGCUGGCUGAUUUGGGAUUUUUAGUUGACAUAACGCGACAUCUGAAUGCGCUGAACACAAGCCUUCAAGGGCAAAAUGCAGUGGUAAGCCAACUGUAUUCACACAUCAAAGCCUUUCGGACCAAGCUGCUACUUUUCCAAAGACACCUGUCACAGGCGCAGCCCAAUACCGCACAUUUCCCGUCGCUGCAGGUAAUUGUGACCAGUUUCCCACAGAUCAAUAUCAGUGCGCAAAUGACAAAGUAUGCAGCAGACAUCUCAUCUCUGGUUGAGGAGUUUCAGCAGCGCUUUCGGGACUUUGCAGCUAUUGAAAAGGAGAUCACGCUUUUUUCCUCUCCUUUCUCCGUGGACCCUGAUGACGCUCCAGACCACCUGCAACUGGAGCUCAUUGAGCUGCAGUGUGACGCCGAGCAUCGCAGUCGGCACCAACAGCUCCCUCUUGUCAACUUCUACCGCCAGCUGGAUGAAGGCAGGUUCCAAGCAAUUCGGACAUUUGCUAAGAAAAUGCUGAGCUUGUUUGGCUUCACAUACAUGUGCGAGAAGACAUUCUCCGUUAUGAACAUUAACAAGAGCCGCAUGAGGACGAGACUGAGUGACUCUCACCUGCGUGACGUCUUGCGCAUCAAAACCACUGCUCUUGAGCCAGACAUGGACUACAUACUGCAGUCAAGAUCCCAGUAUCACCCUUCACAUUAGUGCAGAUAUGUAAUGAUCUCCAAGCUUCUCCAGCUCAGCGUCUCACCUGCCAUCUGCCAGUGGAUCUAUAACUUCCUGAUGGGCAAGCACAGCAGAGGAGGCUGGGAGAAACCACCUCCUCCACACACACCAUUGUGGCCGGGGCACACUAACGUUGUGUCCUCUCCCCUCUGCCCUCUCCACAUGUACCUGCACCUCAAGGAUCCACAGCUGUAAAACUCAUGAAGUUCGCACAUGACACCACAGUCAUCACCCUCAUCAAAGACAGCGACGAGUUUGUGUAUCCACAGGAAGUGGUGAGAGUGGAGCUUUGGGUAGCCAGCACAACCUGGUGUUGAUCACUCUAAAGACCGUAGAGAUGAUUGUGGACUUCAGGAGGCAUCCUUCACCUUUACCACAGCUGCCCCUCAUGCUGUCCAACUGUCUUGUGUCAACUGUCGAGACCUUCAACUUCUUGGGAAUUCCAGUAUCACAGGACAUGAAGUGGGAAACAAACAUCAACUUCAUCCUCACAAAAGCCCAGUAAAGGAUGUACUUCGUGCAGUUUCUGAGAGCCGCUGAGACAAUUCUAGACAGGGGGUCAUUGAAUUAGAAAUGUGUACCUCAAUCACAGUCUGAUUUGCGGCUGCCAUAAAAAAGGAUAAACUCAGACUGCAAUGGACAAUCAGAACUCCUGAAGGAUUGUCGGCACCACACUACCCAUCCUUGAGGACUUGCAUGCCACUCGAACAAGGACAAGAACGGACAAGAUCUUUUUGGACCCUCCACAUCCGGGCCACCAGCUCUUUCCAUCAGCUUCGACCAUGAAGGGCCAGCCACAGCCAGUCAUCUUCUUCCAUGAAAGACCUUCUCUUCUCCCUGGAGCCUCACUCUUCCCCCUCGCCCCCUCUCAUUCACACAUACAUAUUGUUUUACUUCGGCUGAUUUUCAUUCCUCUCCUUUCCAGUGCAUGCCUCAAUCUUUAUAACUGUUCCCCCACAUGCUCCAAGCUUUCAGUGCAAAUAACAAUGUCAUCUGCAAACAUCAUUGUUAAAGGAAAUUCCAGUCCAACAUCAUCUGUCAACCAAAGCAUUAACACAGCAAACAGGAAGGGACUCAGAGCUGAUCCCUAAUACAGUCCCACCUCCACUUAAAUUCUUCUGUCACACCUACGGCACACCUCACCAUUGUUCUGCUGACAUCAUACAUGUCCUGUACUAUUGUAACAUAUUUCUCCACCACACCAGACUUACGCAUGCAGGACCACAGUUCCUCUCUUGGUGUUCUGUCAUGGGCUUUCUCUACAGCCACAAAGACACAAGGUAGCACCUUCGGACCUUCUCUGGACUUUUCCACUAGCAUUCUCAAGGCAAAUAAUGUAUCUGGUACUCUUUCUAGGAAUGAAGCCACACUGUUGCUUGCAGAUACUUAGUUCUGUCCUGAAUACAACUCUUUACCAUAACUUCAUUGUGUGGCUCAUCAACUUUAUUCCUCUAUAGUUCACACAGCUCUACAAAUCGCCUUAGUUCUUAAAAUUGGGAACACUUUUCUUCUAUUCUUCAGGCAUCUUCUCAACCACUGGUAUUCUGUUGAAUAAGUUGGUCAAAAACUCCACCACCACUUCUCCAAAUUGCUUCAAUUCCUCCACAGGUAUGUCAUCGGGACCAACUGCCUUUUCAUUUUUCAUCCUUUGUAGUGCCUUUCUAACUUCCCCUUUACUAAUCAUUGCCACUUCUUGGUCCAUCACACUUGCCUCUUAUACUCUUCCUUCUCCUUAUUUUCUUCAUUCAUCAACUUCUCAAAGUAUUCUUUCCAUCUAUUUACUACACUACUGGCACCAGUUAACACAUUUCCAUCUUUAUUCGUAAUCACAUUUACCUGCUGUCCAUCCUUCCGAUUUCAAUCCAUCUGUCUGGCCAACCUGUAGGGAUUCUUUUCUCCUCCUUUUGUGUCCAACCUAGUGUACAUGUCAUCAUAUGUCUCGUGUUUAGCCUUCGCCACCUCUACCUUUUCCCUAAAUUGCAUCUCAAUGUAUUCCUUUCACCUCUCCUCAGUCCUUUCAGUGUCCCACUUUUUCGACAACCUCUUUCUUUGUAUGACUUCCUGUAUUUUUGGGUUCCACCACCAAGUUUCCUUCUCCCCUUUCCUACCAGAAGACGCGCCAAGUACUCUCCUGCCUUUCUUUCUGAUCACCUUGGCUGUAAAAGUCAUGUCUUCCGGGAGCUCCUCCUGUUCAUCGAUAGCCUGUCUCACCUCUUUCCGAAAGGCCACACAAUAGUCUUCCUUUCUUGGCUUCUACUACAUGGUUCUGUGCUCUACCUUUGUCUUCUUAAUUACCCUUCCCACCACCAGAGUCAUCCUACACACCACCAUCCUAUGCUUUUCAGCUACACUCUCCUCUAGCACUGCCUUACACUCAGUAACUUCCUUCAGGUGACAUCCUCUGCACCAAAUGUAAUCCACCUGCGUGCUACUUCGUCUGCUCUUGUAAGUCACCCUAUGUUCCUGCCUUUUCUGGAAAAAAAGAGUUCACAACUGACAUUUCUAUCCUUUUUUGUAAACUCCACCACCAACUGUCCCUUAAAAUUCCAUUCCUGGAUACUCUACUUGCCCAUCACUUCUUCAUCGUCCUUAUUUCCUUCACCAACAACUCUGUGUUUGGGAUGCAAAGGGAUCUACUUCAUCUCGGUCCUUCCAGAAUUUCGCUUUCAACUCUAGGUCACAUCCUAACCUGUGGGGCAUAGCCGCUAAUCACAUUAUACAUAGCACCCUCAAUUUCAAAUUUAACAUCAUCACUCAAUCUGAUACUCUUCACCUCCAAGACAUUGUUAGCCAGCUCUUCCUUUAAAAUAAGCCCUUAUCCAUUUCUCUUCCCGUUUACUCGAUGGUAAAAUAAUUUAAACCCAGCUCCUAAACUUCUAGCCUUACUACCUUUCCACCUGCACUCUUGGAUGGACAAUUUCUCCUAAUCAUCAUGUCAACCAACUCCUGAGCUUUUCCUGUCCCUACACUCAGUUGUGUCAUGAUCCUGCCGCUCCAGCCCGGGCUGUGUGGGUGCCCGCGCGGUCGCGCCAAUUGGGAAGCACACACCUGCGCCUCAUGCGGGCUGAUUAUUCCCUGUGUAUAUAUAGGACCCCGAUGACGACUGGUUGUCGGCCAGAUUGUUGAGGUUCAUGUCCCGUUCCAGCAUUCUAGUAUCCCUGAUCGUCAACCCGUGUGUACCGACAUACGCUGUAAACCUGACUCCCUUGAUACUCCUGGCUGCUUUGCUCAUUCUCCCGUGUACCGACUCCUGCCUGCCCGCUGACUUGCUCUCUACGCCCGACGUCCCAACUACCACUGCUGCACCGGACUGCCUGCCCGAUCCCAGACCUUCUAAUAAUAAACGUUUUUCCCCGAACUACCUUGCAUCUUCCGAAUCCUGCAUUUGGGUCGUGACAGUUGUAGGCUCUGUGCAUUCCUCUACUUCUGCUGAUGAAUCCACUUUCCUCCUCUUCUUUGUCUUUUACCCACGGUCGCUGAAUUUCAACCGACUCCUUGCAGGUGUUUUUUUAAGCUCUUGCUCCCAAGUAUCGUAUGCCUAAGUCGACUAUUUUGACUAUCCUAAAGAAUGAAAAUGUAACAAAAGGCAGCUAGUGUUGAGUGACGAGCAUUAGAAAGCAAAGGCCAGAGAUGCUAGGGGAAAUGGAGAUGCUACUGGAGAAUUACGACGUCCGAUCGUAGAGGGGUGACUUUGACACCUUACCCUUUCUGCUCGAGCCCCUCCGAUGCCACCGGACCGCUACCAAAAAGGUAAGUGAUACACAUUUAAGUUGGUUUUAGUUUAUGCAUUUUUAAUUGUUGAAAUGCAGGGUGUACAUGUUUUUACAUAAAUAGGAACUACAAUGGGAAUUUACGAUUUGGAGGUUAGGAACAGCUGAAACUCAUUGCCAUUAUUUCCAAUGGAAAAAGCAUGUUUUGGAAGUUGAACAACUCUGAUUUUGAACACUUCACAAAAACAAAUUAUGUUUAGAAUCUUAGGUUCCACUGUACACUUUUAUUGUGAAGAAAACAAGCAUUUUAACACCCAGCUAUAUUGCAAGUUCUCCGACUUAGAAAUCAUUGAGGGGUCUGAAAUUUUCAUCGUAGGUGCAUGUCCACUCUUCUUCUUCUUUUCCUUUCAGCUUGUCCCGUUAGGGGUCGCCACAGCGUGUUAUCUUUUGCCAUCUUAGCCUAUCUCCUGCAUCUUCCUCUCUAACCCCAACUGCCCUCAUGUCUUCCCUCACCACAUCCAUAGACCUUCUCUUUGGUCUUCCUCUCGCUCUUUUGCCUGGGAGCUCCAUCCUCAGCAUCCUUCUACCAAUAUACUCACUCUCUCGCCUCUGAACAUGUCCAAACCAUCGAAGUCUGCUCUCUCGAAUGUUGUCUCCAAAACAUCCAGCUUUGGCUGUCCCUCUAAUGAGCUCAUUUCUAAUCCUAUCCAACCUCGUCACUCCGAGCGAGAACCUCAACAUCUUCAUUUCUGCCACCUCCAACUCUGCUUCCUGUUCUCUCUUCAGUGCCACAGUCACCACUGUUUUACAAACUUUGCCCUUCAUCCUAGCAGACACUCUUCUGUCACAUAACACACCAGACACCUUUCGCCAGCAGUUCCAACCUGCUUGGACCUUUCUUCACUUCCUUACCACACUCACCAUUGCUCUGGAUUGCUGACCCCAAGUAUUUGAAGUCAUCCACCCUCGCUAUCUCUUCUCCCUGUAGCCUCACUCUUCCCCCUCCACUUUUCUCAUUCACGCACAUAUACUCUGUUUUACUUCGGCUAAUCUUCAUUCCUCUCCUUUCCAGUGCAUGUCUCCAUCUUUCUAAUUGUUCCUCUGCAUGCUCCC